rnacentral:tRNA from 1 species
AGGAGUGUGGCUUAGUGGAAAGAGCAUGGGCUUGGGAGUCAGAGGUCAUGGGUUCUAAUCCCACCUCUGCCA